rnacentral:rRNA from 1 species
UACGAAGGGAGCUAGCGUUGUUCGGAAUCACUGGGAGUAAAGCGCGCGUAGGCGGCUUUGUAAGUUAGAGGUGAAAGCCCGGGGCUCAACCCCGGAACUGCCUUUAAAACUGCAUCGCUUGAAUCCGGGAGAGGUGAGUGGAAUUCCGAGUGUAGAGGUGAAAUUCGUAGAUAUUCGGAAGAACACCAGUGGCGAAGGCGGCUCACUGGACCGGCAUUGACGCUGAGGUGCGAAAGCGUGGGGAGCAAACAGG